rfam:Ciona savignyi cont_50808, whole genome shotgun sequence.
GCAAUCUCGGGCUUGGUUAGUACUUGGAUGGGUGACCGCUUGGGAAUACCAAGUGUGAUAAGCA